rnacentral:snoRNA from 1 species
GGGUCAAUGAUGAGUAAUUUAUAUUGGCUUGAGGAGCGGUGAUGACUCAAAUAUCAAGUACAAUGGCAUGACGCUGAGGCCC